GACGAACGCUGGCGGCGUGCUUAACACAUGCAAGUCGAACGGAAAGGCCCCUUUUGGGGUACUCGAGUGGCGAACGGGGGAGUAACACGUGAGUAACCUGCCCUUGACUUCGGGAUAACUUCAGGAAACUGGGGCUAAUACCGGAUAGGAAUCCUUGCUGCAUGGUGGGGGUUGGAAAGCUUCGGCGGUUUUGGAUGGACUCGCGGCUUAUCAGCUUGUUGGUGGGGUAGUGGCUUACCAAGGCUUUGACGGGUAGCCGGCCUGAGAGGGCGACCGGCCACAUUGGGACUGAGAUACGGCCCAGACUCCUACGGGAGGCAGCAGUGGGGAAUAUUGCACAAUGGGCGGAAGCCUGAUGCAGCAACGCCGCGUGCGGGAUGACGGCCUUCGGGUUGUAGACCGCUUUCAGCAGGGGCGAAGCUUUUGUGACGGUACCUGCAGAAGAAGCACCGGCUAACUACGUG
rnacentral:rRNA from 1 species